UGGGGAAUAUUGGACAAUGGGGGCAACCCUGAUCCAGCCAUGCCGCGUGAGUGAUGAAGGCCUUCGGGUUGUAAAGCUCUUUUGGCGGGGACGAUGAUGACGGUACCCGCAGAAUAAGCCCCGGCUAACUUCGUGUCAGCAGCCGCGGUAAGACGAAGGGGGCAAGCGUUGUUCGGAAUUACUGGGCGUAAAGGGCGCGUAGGCGGUUUGCUUAGUCAGGCGUGAAAGCCCUGGGCUUAACCUGGGAUGUGCGCUUGAUACUGGCAGGCUUGAGUGUGGGAGAGGUUGGUGGAAUUCCCAGUGUAGAGGUGAAAUUCGUAGAUAUUGGGAAGAACACCGGUGGCGAAGGCGACUUUCUGGCUCGACCCUGACGCUAAAGCGCGAAAGCGUGGGGAGCAAACA
rnacentral:rRNA from 1 species